CCCUUAGAUGUUCUGGGCCGCACGCGUGCUACACUGAGUGGAUCAGCGGGUCAGGUUGCGCGAAAGCGUUUCCUAAUCUUUAAAUCCGCUCGUGAUGGGGAUUGACGGUUGCAAUUUUCUGUCAUGAACGAGGAAUACCUUGUAAGCGCGGGUCAUCAUCCCGCGCUGAAUACGUCCCUGCCCUUUGUACACACCGCCCGUCGCUCCUACCGAUUGAAUGGUCCGGUGAAGCCUCGGGAUUGUGGCCAGUUCACUUUAUUGGGAGUUGGCUGUGAGAACUUGUCUAAACCUUAUCAUUUAGAGGAAGGUGAAGUCGUAACA
rnacentral:rRNA from 1 species